CAUCACAAGCAAUAUUAAGUUCAAUCUUUCCCCUUGAAAAUGGGCUAAAAUAUAGCUCUUUACUCAAUAAUGAUGCCAUUAAUUCUCAAAAACAAACAAACAAACAUGGUUACUUAAAAGGAAAGGAGAAGAGAAGGACAAAUAAGAAGCAAAAAAUCAAAACAGCUUUUCACAUGUAAAUUUCUAUUUUUAUAUUGAUUUUUCCCUGAAUAAGCUGUGAUGAGUUUGAUUGUAAGGCUUAGAAUAGGUAUAUUCAAUUAAAAUACUCAUGACUAAAAUACAAAUUUCCAUGCUAGAGAUUAGUUAAGAUUAAGUAACAGUUUGUUUUAUUAUUUACUCGUAUCUGUGAUAAAGGGGCCAAUUUUAAAAUAGAGAAUGUUUAGUUUAUAUACUGUUUAUAAAGAAUAGGAGGUGAUCAAAUCUAAGUGUAGGAAAUUGUGUAAUAACAUAAAGAAAAACAGUCACAACAAAUUGGAUAUGAAACAGAAAUGGCUGAUCGGCCGUCUGAUGAGUCUGAAUGCCUAUUUGGGCAUGAUCAGCAGGUACAGGAGUGGGCAAGAGUGGGUAUUAUGUCACAGGUGGGCAUGAGUUGAGAGGACAUCACAGGUGGGCAGACUACUCAAUAGACAAAGUUGCUUUCUCAUUCUUUCUCGCUUGUGCCAUCACCUCUAAAGGUGCCCUCUGAUCAUGCCCACUUUUGUCCAUGGUGUGGGCGUGAUGAAUUUAAUUUAGUGUCCCUUUCUCAGUGUGGCUGUGCUUCAUCACUAUACACAUAUUACUUUAUAUAUUCAUUCAUCACUUCAGAUAUUUUAAGAAGGAGAAAGUGGUACAAAGUAAUAUAAAGAAUGACAUUAAAAUCAGAUAUUUUGAAUGCAGAAGUAAAGAUGGAACAAAUAAGUUAAAAAGACAAGAUUGUGUAUGAAGACCCAAAAAAGUAUAAUUGUAAAUAGUAGAUGAUAGAAUAUACUGAUAAUAUAUAAUUAUAAAAGAUAAAGGAUCUAAUGUUGAUAGCUGAUAGAAUAUAGAUUUAAAAGACAAGUGAUAUGAUUUUAAAAGGAUUUCACUAUUGUGAAAGUAGAUAGAUUAUAGAUUGUAAAAAUAAGCAGCAUGAUUUCUAAGAAAGCUGCGAAAAGAGAUGUGAUGUUGAAUAUAGAUUAUGAAUUGCAAAGGUGAAAGAUGUAAUUGUAAAAAUGAAUAGAUAAAUAAAUUGUAAGAUACUUGCAAAUAAAGGGAAAACAUCAAUUGUUGAAUAUGAAAGAUGUAUGAUAUCAGCUAAAUAUAAGAAGCAAUAAUUUUUGAUAAGUAGCUCCAUAAUUGAGAAAUUAAAAAGCUGCAUCAUGCUCAUCUGGUUUCGUUCAUGACACAUGAUAAUUUUGAUUGUAUGUGUGCAAGAUAUAAAACUUUUUUGGGUUGUAACCUUCAAAAUAUAUUUUACUAAUAUUUGGAAAAGAAAGUAUACUAUAUAUAUACAGGAUCAUGGAUGAAAGUUUAUAUGCUUAAAAAGAAAUACUAUUCUUUUUGAUGGAGAUUUUAUGUAUAUACUUUUUGUUAAACUUGAUGAGCAUUGUGAUAUUACAAGCCUAUUGUUGAUAGGUUAUAAUUUUGUAAAGUUGUAAUAAAAAAUUAUUCUCAGCA
rnacentral:lncRNA from 1 species